GAUGAACGCUGGCGGCGUGCCUAAUACAUGCAAGUCGAGCGAACGGACGAGAAGCUUGCUUUUCUGAUGUUAGCGGCGGACGGGUGAGUAACACGUGGAUAACCUACCUAUAAGACUGGGAUAACUUCGGGAAACCGGAGCUAAUACCGGAUAAUAUUUUGAACCGCAUGGUUCAAAAGUGAAAGACGGUCUUGCUGUCACUUAUAGAUGGAUCCGCGCUGCAUUAGCUAGUUGGUAAGGUAACGGCUUACCAAGGCAACGAUGCAUAGCCGACCUGAGAGGGUGAUCGGCCACACUGGAACUGAGACACGGUCCAGACUCCUACGGGAGGCAGCAGUAGGGAAUCUUCCGCAAUGGGCGAAAGCCUGACGGAGCAACGCCGCGUGAGUGAUGAAGGUCUUCGGAUCGUAAAACUCUGUUACUAGGGAAGAACACAUGUGUAAGUAACUGUGCACAUCUUGACGGUACCUAAUCAGAAAGCCACGGCUAACUACGUG
rnacentral:rRNA from 1 species